rnacentral:rRNA from 1 species
GACGAACGCUGGCGGCGUGCUUAACACAUGCAAGUCGAACGGAAAGGCCCUGCUUUUGUGGGGUGCUCGAGUGGCGAACGGGUGAGUAACACGUGAGUAACCUGCCCUUGACUUUGGGAUAACUUCAGGAAACUGGGGCUAAUACCGGAUAGGAGCUCCUGCUGCAUGGUGGGGGUUGGAAAGUUUCGGCGGCUGGGGAUGGACUCGCGGCUUAUCAGCUUGUUGGUGGGGUAGUGGCUUACCAAGGCUUUGACGGGUAGCCGGCCUGAGAGGGUGACCGGCCACAUUGGGACUGAGAUACGGCCCAGACUCCUACGGGAGGCAGCAGUGGGGAAUAUUGCACAAUGGGCGGAAGCCUGAUGCAGCAACGCCGCGUGCGGGAUGACGGCCUUCGGGUUGUAAACCGCUUUCGCCUGUGACGAAGCGUGAGUGACGGUAAUGGGUAAAGAAGCACCGGCUAACUACGUGCCAGCAGCCGCGGUGAUACGUAGGGUGCGAGCGUUGUCCGGAUUUAUUGGGCGUAAAGGGCUCGUAGGUGGUUGAUCGCGUCGGAAGUGUAAUCUUGGGGCUUAACCCUGAGCGUGCUUUCGAUACGGGUUGACUUGAGGAAGGUAGGGGGGAAUGGAAUUCCUGGUGGAGCGGUGGAAUGCGCAGAUAUCAGGAGGAACACCAGUGGCGAAGGCGGUUCUCUGGGCCUUUCCUGACGCUGAGGAGCGAAAGCGUGGGGAGCGAACAGGCUUAGAUACCCUGGUAGUCCACGCUGUAAACGGUGGGUACUAGGUGUGGGGUCCAUUCCACGGGUUCCGUGCCGUAGCUAACGCUUUAAGUACCCCGCCUGGGGAGUACGGCCGCAAGGCUAAAACUCAAAGGAAUUGACGGGGCCCCGCACAAGCGGCGGAGCAUGCGGAUUAAUUCGAUGCAACGCGUAGAACCUUACCUGGGUUUGACAUGGAUCGGGAGCGCUCAGAGAUGGGUGUGCCUCUUUUGGGGUCGGUUCACAGGUGGUGCAUGGCUGUCGUCAGCUCGUGUCGUGAGAUGUUGGGUUAAGUCCCGCAACGAGCGCAACCCUUGUUCACUGUUGCCAGCACGUUAUGGUGGGGACUCAGUGGAGACCGCCGGGGUCAACUCGGAGGAAGGUGGGGAUGACGUCAAGUCAUCAUGCCCCUUAUGUCCAGGGCUUCACGCAUGCUACAAUGGCUGGUACAGAGAGUGGCGAGCCUGUGAGGGUGAGCGAAUCUCGGAAAGCCGGUCUCAGUUCGGAUUGGGGUCUGCAACUCGACCUCAUGAAGUCGGAGUCGCUAGUAAUCGCAGAUCAGCAACGCUGCGGUGAAUACGUUCCCGGG